AAUUAUUCUCUCGCAGUUCAAACGUGAUUAAAAUCACUUAAAAAAUCACUUUUUUUUUUUUUUUUUUUUUUUUCACGAGCUGGAGGUGAAAAUGAGGAGUAUUAGCAUAAGAAAAAGUAAGAAAAUGAGAAUUAAAUGAGCAUCCAAAAUUUAAGUAGUGAAACUAGAUUUGCACCGAGUGAACGUGCUGUAAAAGCUGUGAUGUUCUGGAUCAGUCGGUGCUGCCAGGUGAGGGCAAACAGAAGCUCGCCAUGGCCCCCCGACUCCGAUGGAUGGAGAUUUCAGCCAGGACAUCUGCACAUGUAGACCCUGGGAAGUCAAAACUCUGCACCAAGCGCUUCCUUGUGAAGACUGCAAACCUUUGAGCCAGCGUUUGCCAUUCAGCCCUUGCCAGAGUGCUUUCUGACUGGAGAGGGGUCCCGGAGAAGAGUACCGUGCUCUAGCUUUGUUGGGCAGCUUUCAACAGGAAUUUUAGAAGCAGCAGAGAAUGCGUUUCACAUCCUGUGUGAUGGCAUUAAAAAAUCUGUGAGAAACGCCAGCACCUUUGCAUCACUUAGUUUUUAAUACUACAUACCUAUCUUAAAAUAUUAGAAGGCCACUUCUGGCUUGGGUAUAAUUAUCCAGACUGUCAAAUGUCCUUAUUCUGAGUAAGUACAGCGGAAUGCGGAAACGUGGAAGCGAUGCAGAGGAAGGCACAUCCCCGGAUCUCUUGGAGAGUAUUGAAAGCAGAGAGCACUGCAUCCUGUGCUGCUGGUGAAAGAUGUGUUUUGCUUGUUGUUAUUAAUACUUUGGUAAUUGCAUACCCAAGGGAGCAGUGGUUUAAAUUAUUGUGAAAGCUGCCAUUGAGUGGCCUGGUUAUUUAAAAAGAAAAACACUGGUUUGUCUCUGUGCCUCCUGCACAGACUAUUAUGUAGGAAAACAUAGUUGUAUUUCUGGUUUUUAACUUGUCCUAGUAAACAGUGCUUCUGCUUCCUCCUGCUGUGUAUGUGGGGCAAUGGGCAAAGUGUAACAGAUAAUAUCCACUUCCAGAGAACAAAUUAAUUAUUAUGUUUUGUUAUUUGUUCCAUUUAAUGAAGCUCACUGAUUAAAAAACAAAACAAAACAAAACAAAAAAACACAACAACAACACCAAACUACUCCUACCAACUAGAGGGCCAUUUGUAACAUCUUUCAAGUAACUAUGUGUGUAUACUGAUAACCUGAUUUUUUUGCUCAACUGUUUUUUUCCUUUAAUAGAGUGAUCUAUCCUUACUAUUUUUAUAUGCAAUCACUGAGUGUAGGUUCUUUUUAUGCCAUUACACUAACUCCACUAUUUUUACUGGGCUGAUUUUUGGCUUAAUUGGUACAAAAGAAGAAUCAAACCUUUCUGUUCCUCAAGAUUUCAUUCACAGUAAAGGAUGUCAGGGGAGCAAACCAAAUGACAGACUCAUUACCAUGUGCCAUGUUACCACAACAAAAAAACCACAAGCCUUGCAGCCGCUUGGCAAAGCACGUAUGCAUUCCCCCUUGCUAUUGUCAGCCUAGAAAUGAUACUGUAUAUUACUGUACUCAUGCUAAAUGUUUCAUUACUAUUCCAACUCCUAAAAACAGUCUCAAAGAAAUUUGUGAUUAGCUAUAUGGUCUGAUCCAUAUUGUCUGGAUCCAUAUGUAGGAGGAUCUGGAUCAAACACUGAGACUGGCAUAUCCAAAUUUACAUCACUCUUUUUGUCUUCAGAUUGACUGCAAACUUGACAUUAACCAAAUCCUGUGUAAUGUUGACCAAGUGAGUAUGGCACACUGUUUAAAAAAUCAUCUCCAAGACAAGUUUGUACAGUUUAUUUUCUGCCGUAUUUCUACAUGAAUGUAAAUAACACAUUUGCUUUCUUACACUAAAGAUAACGCAUCUGCUUUGGUUUUAUGAUGAAUAUCCCCUGUCAUAUCUUCUCGGCUAGUAUGAAUUAGCUCCCUAGAAAUCAAGUAACUCCUGUAUUCAGGAGAACUCAUGAUCAUCUGAAAGCUUAACUCUAUGAAUUCUCAGAUGAAAUUCUGGAGACAGACAAAGGAAGUCUCUAAUAAUGGUUAGACUUUUUAUUUAUGGCCAUCUUAUAAUUCCAGAAAUAUUUGUGGAGGCUUGUGAAAUACGAACAUAUGCAGAAUAAAAGAAACAGCAUCACAGCUGUUAAGUGGUAUUUUCCACCCUUAAGUGGUAUUUUCCCAACAUCCAAAGUCAGUCUGCCAUUUCAAUACUGCUUCGGUGUUACUUACAAAAAUGGAAUUCGAUUUCUUAUUUAGAUUAUAAAAUUCUCUUAAACAGUAGUGGUAAUAUGCCUUGAAAACACUGAAGGUGACUGUUUUUGCAGACACCUCUCACUGAGGUGUUUAUUUCCAUUUUCAGGAAUUUGUAAACCUUUGAAUACCCCAAAGUGCUUACGUACACUCUAGAUCUGACCACAGUGACGUUCUUCACAUUAAAAUUAGGUUGUAUAUUCUAUAUGUACUGUAAAGACAUUGGCAAAGGGAGUUGGUACAGAGCAAGCAAGAACUGCGGGUGAUGUUAGUUCAAUUGCUGCUCUGCUGUAAAUAUCUUAUGUAAUCACGAACAAGUCACCAAAGCCCAGGUGCUCAUGUGAUGGGGAGACAGAAAAUAACAAUGACUUCAUUCUGCUUCCUACCUGUAAAACACAGUGAGUAGCAGGGACACUGAGAAUAGGUACGCAAAAGAAAGAGAUACCCAAGUAGUUUGGUGACACAUACAGACCAGAUGCGCAGCUAAAACAGAUGGAUGUAUACCUAGUUUUCUCCAUCAGUAGAGAUACACUUUUAAUCAGUAAAUACACUUUUACCUAAACAAAUUAGUGAAUAUGUAUAUCUGAGUUCUGCCAGAAAUACACUGCUCUCAUUCAUACACAUACUAUUAGUAACAGAUUAUUAGCAAUAUUAAUAAAUAUUACAUUUCUGUUUAUCUUUUAGACAAUGUAAUCAUCGAAUUACAUGAAAUGUCAUGUCAGAUAUUCUCAAGGAAACACGAUUUGAAUACAAACUGCUUAUAACAUUAAGAUUGAAUAACACUGAAGUAUAAACGAAUGCUACAUAAAAUAUUCAAGUUACUUGGUUUCGUCAUCAUAAAAAGGAAAAAUACACCAAGGAAUUAUUAGCAAAGCAGGUUUUUUUUUUAGGUUCUAAAUUAGAAAGUUAUAGCACCUGAAUGUAAUACUUAACUUUGGUUACAGUGGAGUUUAAGAAAUCAAGCACCAAGAAAAUGCAUUGCCAUGAAUUAAUAUAAUAGUAUCAUAGCAGAUAGUUUAAUGUGAGGUUUUCUAGCAGAAGACAACUUUCAUCAUGAGCUACAGUCUUGAAACAAUCCAUGAAAUUUUCAUGAGCUGUAGACAUACGUUAUUUAUUCCCUAUAUCACAUUAAAAAUACUGUACUUCAUUUGCUCAGAAAGCUGUAUUCUACUUAAAUAAAACUACCUUUUUCUCCUAUUCCUUUCCCCACAACAUUAGCACUUUUUAAAGACUGAUCAUUCUUCUUUUGGACUAGUUAUAUGCCAGUUGUGCAUAUCAUUAUUUCUAAUAAAAGUCAUUGCUAUCUCUUAAAA